rnacentral:rRNA from 1 species
UGCCACUCCUGGAUAAGCCCAUAUCCUAUCAGCUUGUUGGUGAGGUAACAGCUCACCAAGGCGUUGACGGGUAGCCGACCUGAGAGGGUGACCGGCCACACUGGGACUGAGACACUGCCCAGACUCCUACGGGAGGCUGCAGUCGAGAAUCAUUGUCAAUGCACGAAAGUGUGAACAUGCGACGCCGCGUGGAGGACGAAUGCCUUCGGGUUGUAAACUCCUGUCCUGAGGGAGUAAGUGUACGACGGCUAAUACCCGCUGUACUUGAUAGUACCUCAGAAGAAAGUCACGGCUAACUCUGUGCCAGCAGCCGCGGUAAUACAGAGGUGGCAAGUGUUGUUCGGAUUUACUGGGCGUAAAGGGUUCGCAGGCGGUCCUGUGUGUCAGAUGUGAAAAUCCACAGCUUAACUGUGGAACUGCAUUUGAAACUACAGGACUCGAGUACAGCAGGGGAGAGGGGAAUUCAUGGUGUAGCGGUGAAAUGCGUAGAUAUCAUGAAGAACACCGGCGGCGAAAGCGCCUCUCUGGGCUGAUACUGGCGCUCAUGGACGAAAGCCGGGGGAGCGAAGAGGAUUAGAUACCCUCGUAGUCCCGGCCAUAAACGGUGUGCACUUGAUGUGGGAGGAUUACCCCCUUCCGCGUCGGAGCUAACGCGUUAAGUGCACCGCCUGGGAAGUACGGCCGCAAGGUUAAAACUCAAAGGAAUUGACGGGGGCCCGCACAAGCGGUGGAGCAUGUGGCUUAAUUCGAUGCAACGCGAAGAACCUUACCAGGGCUUGACAUGAUACUGCAUCCGACCUGAAAGGGACGGAGCCUUCGAGGGUGUAUCACAGGUGCUGCAUGGCUGUCGUCAGCUCGUGCCGUGAGGUGUUGGGUUAAGUCCCGCGACGAGCGCAACCCUUGUGUUUAGUUGCCAGCACGUAAUGGUGGGAACUCUAAACAGACUGCCUGUGAAAGCAGGAGGAAGGUGGGGAUGACGUCAA